rnacentral:rRNA from 1 species
UCCUGGCUCAGGAUGAACGCUGGCGGCGUGCCUAAUACAUGCAAGUCGAACGAGGUGCUUUUGUAGCAAUACGAGAGUAUCCUAGUGGCGAACGGGUGAGUAACGCGUUGGUGACCUACCCCAAAGUGUGGGAUAACAGUCCGAAAGGAUUGCUAAUACCGCAUGUGGUCAUUGGGUUUAGAAACUGAUGACUAAAGGAGCAAUUCGCUUUGGGAGGGACCUGCGUCCCAUCAGCUAGUUGGUGAGGUAACGGCUCACCAAGGCGACGACGGGUAGGGGACCUGAAAGGGUGGCCCCCCACAAUGGAACUGAAACACGGUCCAUACACCUACGGGUGGCAGCAGUAGGGAAUAUUGCACAAUGGGCGAAAGCCUGAUGCAGCAACGCCGCGUGUGUGAUGAAGGCCUUCGGGUCGUAAAGCACUUUUCUUGGAGAUGAGAAAGGACAGUAUCCCAGGAAUAAGUCUCGGCUAACUACGUGCCAGCAGCCGCGGUAAAACGUAGGAGGCAAGCGUUAUCCGGAUUCACUAGGCGUAAAGCGCGUGCAGGCGGUGCGGUAAGUUAGGCGUGAAAUCUCCCGGCUCAACUGGGAGAGGUCGUCUAAUACUACCGUACUUGAGAGCAGAAGAGGAAGAUGGAAUUCCCGGUGUAGUGGUGAAAUGCGUAGAUAUCGGGAGGAACACCAGUGGCGAAGGCGAUCUUCUGGUCUGUUUCUGACGCUCAGACGCGACAGCUAGGGUAGUAAACGGGAUUAGAGACCCCGGUAAUCCUAGCCGUAAACGAUGUGAACUUGGCGUUGGUGGGUUAAACUCCAUCAGUGCCGCAGCAAACGCGAUAAGUUCACCGCCUGGGGACUACGGCC